GACGAACGCUGGCGGCGUGCUUAACACAUGCAAGUCGAACGGAAAGGCCCUGCUUUUGUGGGGUGCUCGAGUGGCGAACGGGUGAGUAACACGUGAGUAACCUGCCCUUGACUUUGGGAUAACUUCAGGAAACUGGGGCUAAUACCGGAUAGGAGCUCCUGCUGCAUGGUGGGGGUUGGAAAGUUUCGGCGGUUGGGGAUGGACUCGCGGCUUAUCAGCUUGUUGGUGGGGUAGUGGCUUACCAAGGCUUUGACGGGUGGCCGGCCUGAGAGGGUGACCGGCCACAUUGGGACUGAGAUACGGCCCAGACUCCUACGGGAGGCAGCAGUGGGGAAUAUUGCACAAUGGGCGGAAGCCUGAUGCAGCAACGCCGCGUGCGGGAUGACGGCCUUCGGGUUGUAAACCGCUUUCGCCUGUGACGAAGCGUGAGUGACGGUAAUGGGUAAAGAAGCACCGGCUAACUACGUGC
rnacentral:rRNA from 1 species